rnacentral:rRNA from 1 species
UGCCUAAUACAUGCAAGUCGAGCGAACGGACGAGAAGCUUGCUUCUCUGAUGUUAGCGGCGGACGGGUGAGUAACACGUGGAUAACCUACCUAUAAGACUGGGAUAACUUCGGGAAACCGGAGCUAAUACCGGAUAAUAUUUUGAACCGCAUGGUUCAAAAGUGAAAGACGGUCUUGCUGUCACUUAUAGAUGGAUCCGCGCUGCAUUAGCUAGUUGGUAAGGUAACGGCUUACCAAGGCAACGAUGCAUAGCCGACCUGAGAGGGUGAUCGGCCACACUGGAACUGAGACACGGUCCAGACUCCUACGGGAGGCAGCAGUAGGGAAUCUUCCGCAAUGGGCGAAAGCCUGACGGAGCAACGCUGCGUGAGUGAUGAAGGUCUUCGGAUCGUAAAACUCUGUUAUUAGGGAAGAACAUAUGUGUAAGUAACUGUGCACAUCUUGACGGUACCUAAUCAGAAAGCCACGGCUAACUACGUGCCAGCAGCCGCGGUAAUACGUAGGUGGCAAGCGUUAUCCGGAAUUAUUGGGCGUAAAGCGCGCGUAGGCGGUUUUUUAAGUCUGAUGUGAAAGCCCACGGCUCAACCGUGGAGGGUCAUUGGAAACUGGAAAACUUGAGUGCAGAAGAGGAAAGUGGAAUUCCAUGUGUAGCGGUGAAAUGCGCAGAGAUAUGGAGGAACACCAGUGGCGAAGGCGACUUUCUGGUCUGUA